rnacentral:rRNA from 1 species
ACCCGCUGAACUUAAGCAUAUCAAUAAGCGGAGGAAAAGAAACUAACAAGGAUUCCCCUAGUAACUGCGAGUGAAGCGGGAAAAGCUCAAAUUUAAAAUCUGGUGGCCUUUGGUCAUCCGAGUUGUAAUUUAGAGAAGCGUCUUCCGCGCUGAACCGUGCACAAGUCUCCUGGAAUGGAGCGUCAUAGAGGGUGAGAAUCCCGUCUUUGGCACGGAACAUCAGGGCUUCUGUGAUGCGCUCUCGACGAGUCGAGUUGUUUGGGAAUGCAGCUCAAAAUGGGUGGUGAACUCCAUCUAAAGCUAAAUAUUGGCGAGAGACCGAUAGCGAACAAGUACCGUGAGGGAAAGAUGAAAAGCACUUUGGAAAGAGAGUGAAACAGUACGUGAAAUUGUUGAAAGGGAAACGCUUGAAGUCAGUCGCGUCGACCGAGACUCAGCCUUGCCUUGGCUUGGUGUACUUCUCGGCUGACGGGUCAGCAUCAAUUUUGAUCCUCGGAUAAUGGCAAGGGAAAGGUAGCACCUUUUUAGGUGUGUUAUAGUCCUUCGUCGCAUACGGGGGUUGGGAUUGA